UUCAACUUGAGAGUUUGAUCCUGGCUCAGAACGAACGCUGGCGGCAGGCCUAACACAUGCAAGUCGAGCGAACCCUUCGGGGUUAGCGGCGGACGGGUGAGUAACGCGUGGGAAU
rnacentral:rRNA from 1 species